UACGUAGGGCGCAAGCGUUGUCCGGAAUUAUUGGGCGUAAAGAGCUCGUAGGCGGUUUGUCGCGUCUGCUGUGAAAACCUGAGGCUCAACCUCGGGCUUGCAGUGGGUACGGGCAGACUAGAGUGCGGUAGGGGUGACUGGAAUUCCUGGUGUAGCGGUGGAAUGCGCAGAUAUCAGGAGGAACACCGAUGGCGAAGGCGGGACUCUGGGCCGAUACUGACGCUGAGGAGCGAAAGCGUGGGGAGCAAACAGG
rnacentral:rRNA from 1 species